rnacentral:rRNA from 1 species
AGGAAGGUAGGGGAGAAUGGAAUUCCUGGUGGAGCGGUGGAAUGCGCAGAUAUCAGGAGGAACACCAGUGGCGAAGGCGGUUCUCUGGGCCUUUCCUGACGCUGAGGAGCGAAGGCGUGGGGAGCGAACAGGCUUAGAUACCCUGGUAGUCCACGCUGUAAACGGUGGGUACUAGGUGUGGGGUCCAUUCCACGGGUUCCGUGCCGUAGCUAACGCUUUAAGUACCCCGCCUGGGGAGUACGGCCGCAAGGCUAAAACUCAAAGGAAUUGACGGGGCCCCGCACAAGCGGCGGAGCAUGCGGAUUAAUUCGAUGCAACGCGUAGAACCUUACCUGGGUUUGACAUGGAUCGGGAGUGCUCAGAGAUGGGUGUGCCUCUUUUGGGGUCGGUUCACAGGUGGUGCAUGGCUGUCGUCAGCUCGUGUCGUGAGAUGUUGGGUUAAGUCCCGCAACGAGCGCAACCCUUGUUCACUGUUGCCAGCACGUUAUGGUGGGGACUCAGUGGAGACCGCCGGGGUCAACUCGGAGGAAGGUGGGGAUGACGUCAAGUCAUCAUGCCCCUUAUGUCCAGGGCUUCACGCAUGCUACAAUGGCUGGUACAGAGAGUGGCGAGCCUGUGAGGGUGAGCGAAUCUCGGAAAGCCGGUCUCAGUUCGGAUUGGGGUCUGCAACUCGACCUCAUGAAGUCGGAGUCGCUAGUAAUCGCAGAUCAGCAACGCUGCGGUGAAUACGUUCCCGGGGCUUGUACACACCGCCCGUCAAGUCAUGAAAGUUGGUAACACCCGAAGCCGGUGGCCUAACCGUUGUGGGGGAGCCGUCGAAGGUGGGACUGGUGAUUAG